UACAGAGGUCCCGAGCGUUGUUCGGAUUCACUAGGCGUAAAGGGUGCGUAGGCGGCUUUGCAAGUCUGAUGUGAGAUCUCCGGGCCCAACCCGGAAAUGGCAUUAGAAACUGUGAGGCUGGAGGCUUGGAGGGGGAACUGGAAUACUUGGUGUAGCAGUGAAAUGCGUAGAUAUCAAGUGGAACACCGGUGGCGAAGGCGGGUCUCUGGGCAGUAACUGACGCUGAGGAGCGAAAGCGUGGGGAGCGAACAGG
rnacentral:rRNA from 1 species